rnacentral:rRNA from 1 species
GACGAACGCUGGCGGCGUGCUUAACACAUGCAAGUCGAACGGUAAGGCCCUUCGGGGUACACGAGUGGCGAACGGGUGAGUAACACGUGGGUAAUCUGCCCUGCACAUCGGGAUAAGCCUGGGAAACUGGGUCUAAUACCGAAUAGGACCACAGGACACAUGUCCUGUGGUGGAAAGCUUUUGCGGUGUGGGAUGGGCCCGCGGCCUAUCAGCUUGUUGGUGGGGUGAUGGCCUACCAAGGCGACGACGGGUAGCCGGCCUGAGAGGGUGUCCGGCCACAUGGGAACUGGGAUAGGGCCCAGAGUCCUACGGGGGGAAGGAGUGGGGAAUAUUGAAAAAGGGGCAAAAGCCUGAUGCAGCGAGGCCGCGUGGGGGGUGACGGCCUUCGGGUUGUAAACCUCUUUCACCAUCGAGGAGGGCCCGGUUUUUCGGGGGCGGACGGGAGGGGGAGAAGAAGCACCGGCCAACUACG